AGUGAACGCUGGCGGUGGGCCUAACACAUGCAAGUCGAACGGCAGCACAGUAAGAGCUUGCUCUUACGGGUGGCGAGUGGCGGACGGGUGAGGAAUACAUCGGAAUCUACUUUUUCGUGGAGGAUAACGUAGGGAAACUUACGCUAAUGCCGCAUACGACCUACGGGUGAAAGCAGGGGAUCUUCGGAUCUUGCGCGAUUGAAUGAGCCGAUGUCGGAUUAGCUAGUUGGCGGGGUAAAGGCCCACCAAGGCGACGAUCCGUAGCUGGUCUGAGAGGAUGAUCAGCCACACUGGAACUGAGACACGGUCCAGACUCCUACGGGAGGCAGCAGUGGGGAAUAUUGGACAAUGGGCGCAAGCCUGAUCCAGCCAUACCGCGUGGGUGAAGAAGGCCUUCGGGUUGUAAAGCCCUUUUGUUGGGAAAGAAAAGCAGCAGGUUAAUACCCCGCUGUUCUGACGGUACCCAAAGAAUAAGCACCGGCUAACUUCGUG
rnacentral:rRNA from 1 species